rnacentral:rRNA from 1 species
UAGAGUUUGAUCAUGGCUCAGGAUGAACGCUAGCGGCAGGCUUAACACAUGCAAGUCGAGGGGCAUCGGGAGGGAAGCUUGCUUUCCUUGCCGGCGACCGGCGCACGGGUGAGUAACACGUAUGCAACCUGCCCUCUUCAGGGGGACAACCUUCCGAAAGGGAGGCUAAUCCCGCGUAUAUCGGUUUCGGGCAUCCGAGAUCGAGGAAAGAUUCAUCGGAAGAGGAUGGGCAUGCGGCGCAUUAGCUUGACGGCGGGGUAACGGCCCACCGUGGCGACGAUGCGUAGGGGUUCUGAGAGGAAGGUCCCCCACACUGGUACUGAGACACGGACCAGACUCCUACGGGAGGCAGCAGUGAGGAAUAUUGGUCAAUGGGAGAGAUCCUGAACCAGCCAAGCCGCGUGAGGGAAGACGGCCCUAUGGGUUGUAAACCUCUUUUGUCGGAGAACAAAACCCGGGACGUGUCCCGGACUGCGUGUAUCCGAAGAAAAAGCAUCGGCUAACUCCGUGCCAGCAGCCGCGGUAAUACGGAGGAUGCGAGCGUUAUCCGGAUUUAUUGGGUUUAAAGGGUGCGUAGGCGGUCCGUUAAGUCAGCGGUAAAAUUGCGGGGCUCAACCCCGUCGAGCCGUUGAAACUGGCAGACUUGAGUUGGCGAGAAGUACGCGGAAUGCGCGGUGUAGCGGUGAAAUGCAUAGAUAUCGCGCAGAACUCCGAUUGCGAAGGCAGCGUACCGGCGCCAGACUGACGCUGAGGCACGAAAGCGUGGGGAUCGAACAGGAUUAGAUACCCU